UACGUAGGGGGCUAGCGUUGUCCGGAAUCAUUGGGCGUAAAGCGCGCGUAGGCGGUCAGGUAAGUCCGGUGUGAAAGUCAAAGGCUCAACCUUUGAAUGCCGCUGGAUACUGCUUGACUUGAGUCCGGAAGGGGCGAGUGGAAUUCCUGGUGUAGCGGUGAAAUGCGCAGAUAUCAGGAGGAACACCAGUGGCGAAGGCGGCUCACUGGCCCGUUACCGACGCUCAGGCGCGACAGCGUGGGGAGCAAACAGG
rnacentral:rRNA from 1 species